CUUCUCUUCCAGUGCCGCUACACCAUACACAUUUGGAAUGACGUCCUCCCAUGGCUCGGCAUGCAUCACAUCACCAUGUCUACUUGGGUGACGAGGGCUUCGGUCAGAGAAUGGUGGAAUGGUAACCUUCAUAUCCGCCUCGGCUCGCCCAAGCCGCUUGCCUCCCUCACGAUGCUCAUCUCUUGGGAGGUUUGGUUGAAGCGCAAUGCUAGAGUCUUCCGCAACUCGGCGGCCCCUUGCAUGGUCAUCAUCAACAAAAUCAAGUAGGAGGUGUCGCUUUGGGCUUUGGCUGGAGAAAAACAUUUGGGUGUUGUAAUGCCGCGAGAGUAG
rnacentral:rRNA from 1 species